ACAGGUGUGAGGAAAUUAGAAAAACAUCUGGAGUCGAAACAAGGAAAGACGCCCCAGGUGUUUUUUUAU
rnacentral:sRNA from 19 species